GAUGAACGCUGGCGGCGUGCCUAAUACAUGCAAGUCGAGCGAAGCGGGGACGGGUGAGUAACACGUGGAUAACCUCCUCUAAGCCUGGGAUAACUUCGGGCAACCGGAGCUCAACCGGAUAAUUAUCGAUGGAUCCGCGCUGCAUUAGCUAGUGGGUAAGGGAACGGCUUACCAAGGCAACGAUGACUCGCCGACCUGAUAGGGUGAUCGGCCACACUGGAACUGAGACACGGCCCAGACUCCUACGGGAGGCAGCAGGAGGGAUUCUUCCGCAAUGGGCGAAAGCCUGACGGAGCAACGCAGCGUGAGUGAUGAAGGUUUUCGGAUCGUAAAACUCUGUUAUUAGGGAAGCGGUAUCUAAUCAGAAAGCCACGGCUAACUACGUGCCAGCAGCCGCGGGAAUAC
rnacentral:rRNA from 1 species